CGAAUUGGCAAAGUUCCGAAUUUGUCGCUGUGUUUUGUGCGCUUGUGCGCUCGUCAUUUGCCGUCAUCGCGCGGAGAUAUUUGCGCUGGAUGUCUUUCACUUCAUGUACAAAACUCUGCACGCUGCGACAUCGAAGAAGUUGUCCUGUGUUUGGGUGCACGUAUGCGCUUGGACACGGAUAUAUCCUGCUUGCUCUCAACGGGUGUUCAACAGUCUACGCGACUCGUAACUUGCUCAUGAGGCAAGUUGCUGUUGUGCUGGAGCUGAGAAGAGGUCUGCUGCCUGCAAUGGGUCCAUCUCUCUGAAGUUAUCGCAGUAUUGUAGCUCUCAAAGUUCAAAAAAGUAUGGUGGAAGCUGUUGCCAAGGUUUCGACCAGAAAAGACAGCCAGUAUAAAAGGGUCCUCACCACUGAUCUC